AAAUUGAAGAGUUUGAUCAUGGCUCAGAUUGAACGCUGGCGGCAGGCCUAACACAUGCAAGUCGAGCGGUAGCACAGAGAGCUUGCUCUCGGGUGACGAGCGGCGGACGGGUGAGUAAUGUCUGGGAAACUGCCUGAUGGAGGGGGAUAACUACUGGAAACGGUAGCUAAUACCGCAUAAUGUC
rnacentral:rRNA from 2 species